UACGUAGGGUGCAAGCGUUGUCCGGAAUUAUUGGGCGUAAAGAGCUCGUAGGCGGUCUGUCGCGUCGGCUGUGAAAACCCGAGGCUCAACCUCGGGCCUGCAGUCGAUACGGGCAAACUAGAGUACUGCAGGGGAGACUGGGAAUUCCUGGUGUAGCGGUGGAAUGCGCAGAUAUCAGGAGGAACACCGGUGGCGAAGGCGGGUCUCUGGGCAGUAACUGACGCUGGAGGAGCGAAAGCGUGGGGAGCGAACAGG
rnacentral:rRNA from 1 species